GCCCAGGUUUCUUCCACUUGGAGGAGGCAAACUGGUGAAUGGAAGGAGGCGAUCCUCUGGCAGUGGGAUGCUAAGGAGUGAUAAUAAGGCAAGUUUGCUUGCUUGAAGGCUGCUGGUAUCUGUGAUCAGAAGCUGGUGGACAUCUCAUGAUGGACCUAACAGUAGCUUCUGGCACAAUGGGACACUUAAGUAUGUCUCCAUAUAAUAUCAUGGGAAAGCUAUUUUGCAUAAUUAUUAAAUCAUCACAAUGGGGUUGUUGAACUGGUCAUGAUGUUCAUAAUUAGCACUAGCUGGGAACUCAUUUGGUUCACUGUUUUUGAAACCUGGUUUUCCAAAGCAGCUUCAGAUACUGCCUUGGACUGCUUCUUAUAAAAAUACUAUGGAGCCUCCCUGAAAGUGUGAAAGUCCUUGGGUUGAUCCUUGGGGAGAUCAUGGAGUGAGUGGAUCAGUAGUGGUAUGAGUUGGUAAGUAGAAAUACGGCAAAGCCAACAGGCUGGACUGGGAGACCCAGCGGAUCAGAUGUGGGUAGCAAGCCAGGUGCUCCCCUUUUUUUGUUUUAGGGAGUCCUGAUAAGCCAUCAGAAACCCAGUGUUGAUCCACCUCUGAAUGAAGAGAGCUGUUGGGCAGAAGCAAAAGGAUGCAUGGGCCUGUCAAGCAUGCAGUUAGGGAUUCCUGUGGUAAUCAGUUCAACUCAAUACCAACGCAGAUGUUACAUAAAGGGCAAUCCUAUGCACUCUCUGCGGCUGUCAAGCUUUUCUAGGUUUCAUUUCAGCAGAGGAGCAAAACAGUAAUAGCUAGGUUUCAGAGAAAAUGAGUCAUCGCGAGGAAUUUGUAAGGAAGAGAGAGUAGCGUUUAUUACAUUAGGCAGAAGGGUUUGGUUCCGAGUCUCACAUUAAGGUUGAGAAAUGGAUGUUGAAAGCACUUAAGGAUUUAUUUGGGCAUCAACUUGUAAGAAGGAUCCAAGUCCAUCAUAGCUGAUUAAAGCUAGUAGAGAGUGACUAACAUCUGUUACUGACAAGAAUUAUUGAUUCCUCUCUUUUAAGAAGCAAGAAACUAGCCAUCCUUUAGCACGCCAUUAUUAGCUAGGCCUUUGCUCUUGAGUUUUCAUUAAAUUUCACCACUUUUUGUAAGUUUUAGUGAAUAGUUUACAAUAGUUUACAAGCCAACCAGAGAGCCAGUAUGGUGUAGUGGUUAAGAGUGGUAGACUCGUAAUCUGGGGAACCGGGUUCGCUUCCCCACUCCUCCACAUGCAGCUGCUGGGUGACCUUGGGCUAGUCACACUUCUUUGAAGUCUCUCAGCCUCACUCACCUCACAGAAUGUUUGUUGUGGGGGAGGAAGGGAAAGGAGAAUGUUUGGGACUCCUUCGGGUAGUGAUAAAGCGGGGUAUCAAAUCCAAACUCUUCUUCUUCUUCUUCUUCUUCUUCAAAUGCAGCUAGUUUGUAUCCAGUCCAUAGAAGGGGGGAGGCAGAAGGUGGUUUUUCUGCCCCUUCAUACCCCUAGCAUGCCCUUGAGCUCCCCUACCACCAAAAAGGCCUCUUCUAAGAGUUGGUGACCUCCUCGAUGGGUUGGUCAUGGAACGGUGAAUGGAGAAAGAUCACUGAAAAUUGAGUGGAGACACCUUUCAUGAGCAUCAAUCUCUGUUUCGCAUUGUGCCUAUUCAUUUCCUGCUCAUAUUCUCUAUUGAAACAUGCAAGUGUGUCCCAUUCUCUAAAGUGUAGAGCCUGUAUGCUGGUGUGGACCCUCUUGGAAUCUCAUGUGUUUAAUCUUUCUCUAUUUCUUAAUUAAAUCAUGUAUGCUUGUGAAAUGUGGACCACUUAUAAAUGCCAUCUCCAACUCCUUGACAGAUUCCAUCAAAGGUGUCUCCGGAAAAAAAUUACACAUCACCUGGGAAGACAGGUGAACUAAUACCAGUGUACUGGAAGAAGAUCACCAAUGAUUCUUCAACAUCAACUUCAUUGGAUUGGUCAUGUUGUGUGGAUGCCUGAUUAUUGUCUUCCACCUACUCUAUUCCAAACUUUAAAAUGGUAAGCGUAAUGCUGGUGGUCAACAAAAGAGGUUCAAAGACUCUCUCAAGGCAAAUCUAAAAAAAUGUAGUAUAAACACCGACAGCUGGGAAACACUGGCCUGCCAGCCCUCCUGGAGAACAGCCUUUACCAAAGGUGUCAUGGGCUUUGAAGAUGCUCGAACUCAGGAUGAAAGGGAGAAAUGUGCUAAGAGGAAGGCAUGCUUGGCAAACCCUCAUCAUGAUCAACUCCCGCCUGGAAACCUACACCCCCCCCCCCCCCGUGGAAGGACGUGUGGAUCCAGAAUUGGCCUCCACAGUCACUUACUGACUCACUUUUAAAACCAUGUUUAUGGAGGACAAUGUUACUCAGCUACGAGUGAUUACCAAAGAAGAUGAAGAAUUUCUUAAUUAAAUCAAGGCAACAAUUGGCUAUGUAGUUUUUGAGUUUUGAGGCCCUGAGUUUUUGAGUGAUUUCCUAAGAAGGACCAGAACUCAUCCAUCUAGAACCUAGACAUUCCCCUUUUCUUUUACAUAGAAAAAGUUUGUCUUUUUUUUCCACCAGAAAAUUGAUGCUUCUAGGACCAGCCUACCCUUUUGAGAGUUUUUCUUUUCUAAAAGUAAAACUUGUUUUAGAUCCUUGGGUUGGGGAGGGGAAAUGUUAUUCCAAAGACUGUCCCUCUGUCUGACUAGCUUUUGAAGCUCUCAGUUGUGUUUCUGCUCUUGCACCUUUGAAUGCCUGAAUCCCAGAAGAAAUCCUACUGAGAUAAUGCAGCCUGGCUUUCGGUGCUCCUUUUCUCUACUCAGACAUCCAGUAGUAAAGGCUCACUGUGUCCAAGUAAGGUUUGUUUUCUCUCUCUUUCCCCUUUUGAAUUUACCCUGACACUAAGGAAUCCUUUCCCACUUUCCUGCUGUUUUGGACAGAGCAUACAGGAGAAAGAUGAUAUAACUCUCCUCUUUUUCCUCCAUCACUGUUCAGUCUCUCGUAAAUAGUCUUUUGUUUUGCUUUCUUCAUAAAAAUGGCUUCUGGAAAAGUUCUGAUCUUAUCUCUACAUUCAUAAAUUACUCAUGCUAUGCUCCUGUGUAUUUUGGUAAGUGUGAUAAUUUCUGGGAUUUCUCAGCUGGAUUUAUAGUUGUCUGUCCUCUGGCAGAAUAAAGGCAAGAUUGUAGUUUAGAGGGAUCCCUCUAGCUAAAUCCUCUUUCCAUCAUUUGGGUUGUGGAAAAGAGAAGUGGUUUAUGAUGCAUAUAGAGAUGUGUGUCUUGAGCAUACUUGACAACAGUGGGUAGAUGAAACCGGGGUACUAUUUACAAUUAUAUGGUUUAAAAUUUAGCUUCCCAAAAUAAUUAUUGUGCAGCACAAUCUUGUUCAUGCCUGUUCAGAAGUAAGUCCUGCAAUGUUCAGUUGGGCUUGCCCCCAAGAAUUACGCAUAAGGUUUCAACUUUCAGUUCAAGUAGCACUUGCAGUCUCUUACAACAAGAAAUUCAAAUGAGGUGUGCAAUACCUUUUGUUGAAUGGGUUUAUUCCACAAUAAGCCUCCCACAGUAUUUAUUUAUUAUUUAUUUUCCCAUGCUUUAAGACUCCAUGCUCAGGUUUAUCUUUUGAAAACCAUCAGAACUAAGCAUAUCUGCUUUUUCAAAGUUCUCCCGGCAGUAUAGGACCCACAGGUCUCAGCCAUGUGCUUGAAUAAUUUAAAUAUUCUCCCAGCUAUGUAGGAGCUGCUCAUGGAUAAGUGCCUCCAACACAGCUGGAAGAACAUCUAAAGAACACUGUGUUCUCUUCCAAGUGCAGUCACGGUCAGCCAUGAAUACCCAUGAACACAAGGCUUGCAAACGCUGCUAGUCAGAUAACUAGUUUGAAGUGCCAUAGCUAAUCCAGUCUAUUUAGCUUCACAUAAACUUUUUCUGGUUCACAGAAGCUGCAUCCUGACAGAUCAGAGGACCCUCCCAACCAUAGGUCAGCAAUUGGUCUCUCCCUUUCCACCUGUCUCUACAGUUAGGUAUAGUUUCAGUCAACGAAUCUGUACCGAGUUUGAAAAGUUCACAGAUUUUACUCACUAUGUGUCAGGAUUUACGAUCUCCCUCUCACACCAAGAGAUGGCAGGCUGAAGGUUUUGUUACAGUCAGAUUUAUUAGUAUUUACACUUAGUUUCGGUCUGAGCACACAGCUCAAUCUUCUGCACCUGAUGAGUUGUUGAGUCCACUGAAAGGCGGACUUUCCGCCAACAGGAUAUCCGCCAUCGGCUGCCCCUCCUCCUGUUGGACUCAUGCCAAGCCUGGGCUCUACUUCUCCAACUACGAGGAGAUUCAGGAGCAGCUUGUCCAGUUUGUCCCUCCUCUGAGAAUGUGUCUGCGAUCUGUAGCCUCUCUGUCUGCCUUAUACUGUCUUGGGGAUUUAUUACGUGCAUUCCAAUGGAACAGGAGGGCUCGCUUCACUCUCUGUAUGGGAAGAAAGCAAGCCUUUGUCUCUUUUUGCCUGCCACCCCCCUUCGUCUUUGGAGCCCUCACUGUCACCCUGGGAAGGAACGUUCCUGACACCAUGCACAAUAUGUCACCUACAGACCUACCUACAAAUGGAUACAUUGGAUUAAGUUUACAGCCCAACUAUGAGGCAUACAUUGCCUUAAACUAAAAGUACUGUAUAUCGGAUAUGAGUAAAGAUCUCUGGUUAUCUAAGAUAGUAGUGGUGCUUAGUAAAUCUAUCAACAUGGGUAUUAUUUAUUUGAUGUAUGAUAUACAGUGGUACCUUGGGUUAAGAACUUAAUUCGUUCCGGAGAUCUGUUCUUAACCUGAAACUGUUCUUAACCUGAAGCACCACUUUAGCUAAUGGGGCCUCCCUUUGCCGCUGCACUGCCGCUGCACAAUUUCUGUUCUCAUCCUGAGGUAAAUGUAACCUGAGGUACUAUUUCUGGGUUAGCGGAGUCUGUAACUUGAAGCGUCUGUAACCCGAGGUGUCUGUAACCUGAGGUACCACUGUACAUGUGUGUGAUUAUUAUAGUCCUCUUUUAACAUGUAUCAUCGUCGUCCAAGACAAAGCUGCCACUUUGGCAAGAUCAUUCUGUGUUCUACAUGUGCUCUCCUUCUUGCCAUCUGCUUCAGUUUAUAUGCCCUCCCAAUCAUAACCAAUUUAAUUUAUUUAGAAAAUGUCAGUGUGGUUUAGUGGUUAUAGUGUGAACCUAGAUAAGGGUUCAAAUUCCUAUUCAGCAUGAAACUUGUGGGGUGACCGCAGGCCAGUCACUUAUUAGCUUAACCAACUUCCCAGGGUGGUCGGAAGGAUAAAGUGGCUAUAGGAGGAAAGAAUCAUGUACACAGCCCUGAGAGAAUGAGUAGGAUAACAUUAUUUCAAACAUUCCCCCAAAGCUCAAAAUACUGUCAUUUAAAUAAAUGGGGUCAGGUACGAUGCAACAUUCACCAUACAGCUAUGACAUGAUAAUGAUGAAGACAGCCACUUGCAUUGCACAUCAGUUGUAUCAGACAAAGUAAGUUGGCUUUUACCAAUUAUCUAGUAGAAGACAACUACUUGCGCUUGGAGAGAGAGAGAGAGAGAGAGAGAGAGAGAGAGAGAUAUUCUAUAGCACAUAUUUGGAAUUGAUUAAUAACUUUGCUUAGUAGCUGAAAAGACACAAUCCAUCACACGGUGCUGCUAUGACUACAACAUGACUGCCUUUGAUUGUUUCCAGCUCUUUCCUACACCACCUUUUAUCUUUCAGUGUUGAACCUGUUCGCUGGGGAAUAAUAGCAAUUCACCCACAUGACUGUUUACAAGAGAACUACAUGCACCCCGUCACAUAAGACUCCCUCUAGUAGCUAGUGAGUUGAAGUCAACGUCUUGAUUCCUGACAAAGGACAAGAUGGCACCCCCUCAUCACACAGAUAGCAGCUAACUAUGCUAGCAAACAAAUCCUACUUCGACAUUGGCAAUGGAAGCACAUUCUCUACCAUAUCUGAGAGCAGCAGGCUAGCUUAGGGGCUGAAGAGGGGAUACCAUGAGACAUACAGCCCCUCUUUACCCUCCAGUAUCUACCAAAGAGGCAAUAAUAUCACUCUGGACGGAGCAAUGGAGAACUUCUGAAACAACAAUGGGAUGUUAGCUCCAUCCAAGUCAUGAUGGAGAACAGCAGCAA